CCCCUGAGCCUUGCACCCCGUGCGUGUGAUUCAGGAGCAAGGGUGUGUUUGUGGUUAGGCUGAGUUUUCCCAGUUUCGUCAUGAUAAAGCCAGCAGGUUUGAAUUUUGAGACACUACAAUUGUCAAGGAGGUCACAGCAGGAACAUCCCUUCUAUGCAUUCCAGGGUCCCCUGAACCAGCAUACGUGUGACUGGCAAAAUCCACAGCACUGCAUGGAAACACCACUACCAAGAAGCCCAUCAGGUUUGUUUUAGCAUUCAAACAGAAGCUGAAGAUCAGAGAGUCCAGGUGGCAGGUGUUUGCUUCUAACCUGCAGGGGAAGAAAAGAAAAAUGAGAAGAAUUUAAUUUCCCUGCAAAAAUUGAGAGCAGCUGCUGCUUACUCUUUGAGUUAAAAGCAAACAAACCACAGUCUGGCAGCUUGAAGAUGAAUGCUCUUCACGUCAGAUGCUUGCUGUGUUGUUGGGCAAUGUGCCAUGGCAUCCAUGACAGUGAUGAGUUGACUAGGACAAUUUUUACCUAACUGGACAAAGAUGAAUUGGAAUACAAAUAUACAUCAGACCUGAGGUUGGUUCUCUGAGCUCCUCUGACUGUCGGAGAAGAAAGGUUAUAUUGGAAUUAUGCUUCAAAGAUUAAAACUGGUUCUCUUCUGUUUUUGAAUGAAUUACAAUGAAUAUAUCUGGCAUUUUAAAUUUGUCUUACCUCCUCCAUUAUCUUUUCUGUAGUUCGCUUUUCGAAUGACAGAGUGAUUUAUUGAGUGUCUUUUAAAAGUUCCAUUUCACCAAACUAAUGGUGAAUAUAAAAAUCUGCCACUUGACCUAAC
ensembl:lncRNA